AUACGGAGGAUCCGAGCGUUAUCCGGAUUUAUUGGGUUUAAAGGGAGCGUAGGUGGAUUGUUAAGUCAGUUGUGAAAGUUUGCGGCUCAACCGUAAAAUUGCAGUUGAAACUGGCAGUCUUGAGUACAGUAGAGGUGGGCGGAAUUCGUGGUGUAGCGGUGAAAUGCUUAGAUAUCACGAAGAACUCCGAUUGCGAAGGCAGCUCACUAGACUGUUACUGACACUGAUGCUCGAAAGUGUGGGUAUCAAACAGGAUUAGAUACCCUGGUAGUCCACACAGUAAACGAUGAAUACUCGCUGUUUGCGAUAUACAGUAAGCGGCCAAGCGAAAGCGUUAAGUAUUCCACCUGGGGAGUACGCCGGCAACGGUGAAACUCAAAUGAAUUGACGGGG
rnacentral:rRNA from 1 species